UGGGGAAUUUUGGACAAUGGGGGCAACCCUGAUCCAGCCAUGCCGCGUGAGUGAAGAAGGCCUUCGGGUUGUAAAGCUCUUUCGGCGGGAACGAAAGGGGUCGUGCUAAUACCAUGGCUCGAUGACGGUACUCGCAGAAGAAGCACCGGCUAACUACGUGCCAGCAGCCGCGGUAAUACGUAGGGUGCGAGCGUUAAUCGGAAUUACUGGGCGUAAAGCGUGCGCAGGCGGCUUUUUAAGCCAGACGUGAAAUCCCCGGGCUUAACCUGGGAAUGGCGUUUGGGACUGGAAGGCUAGAGUGCGGCAGAGGGAGGUGGAAUUCCACGUGUAGCAGUGAAAUGCGUAGAGAUGUGGAGGAACACCGAUGGCGAAGGCAGCCUCCUGGGCCAGCACUGACGCUCAAGCACGAAAGCGUGGGGAGCAAACAGGAUUAGAUACCCUGGUAGUCCACGCCCUAAACGAUGUCAACUGGUUGUUGGUGGGGUUAAACCCAUUAGUAACGAAGCUAACGCGUGAAGUUGACCGCCUGGGGAGUACGGCCGCAAGGUUG
rnacentral:rRNA from 1 species